AUGAGCGCUCCCAUGGAGAUCUCCUUCGACCCCCACCCUUCUCAUCCCGCGCUGCCCGCCUUCCCCUCCAGCCCACCCCUGGAGCCCGCAGCCGCCGCCACCCCUCCCGCGGUCUCGUCCUCGCCGCAGCCGACGGCGGAGGCCGUAGUCGCGCCCACCCCGCCAGACGACAAGGUCCUCGUCUCAGUUGAGGUGCUGCUGCACGCCACGAGUACGGCCCGCGCCGAGGACGUCCGAGUAGCGGUCGAGAGGAUGUUAGAAUCUCGAAGUUUAAGCUAUGUUGAUGGUCCUGUUCAGAUACCUCCAGACAAUUCUUUUCUUCUUGAACAUGUCAAAAGGAUCCAAAUAAGUGACACUGAUGAGUUGAUUGAGAACCACAAAAUCCUGUUGUUUUGGCAAGUCAAACCUGUCGUUCAUGUAUUCCAGUUGAAUGAGGAUGGUCCAGGUGAAGAACCAAGUGAAGAUGACACACUCUCUAGCUUCAAUGAGUGGGCGCUACCUGCCAAAGAAUUUGAUGGAUUAUGGGAAAGCUUACUAUAUGAAGUGGGUCUCAAGCAGAGGUUGCUGAGAUAUGCUGCUAGUGCUUUGCUAUUUACUGAAAGAGGUGUAGAUCCAUGCCUUGUUUCAUGGAACAGGAUUGUACUUUUGCAUGGUCCACCUGGAACAGGAAAGACUUCAUUGUGUAAAGCACUAGCUCAGAAGCUUUCUAUUCGCUUCAAUUCAAGGUACUCUAUGUGCCAACUAAUUGAAGUCAAUGCCCAUUCAUUGUUCAGCAAGUGGUUUUCUGAAAGUGGCAAACUGGUAGCCAAACUUUUCCAGAAGAUUCAGGAGAUGGUUGAGGAAGAAAGCAACCUGGUAUUUGUAUUGAUCGAUGAAGUUGAAAGCCUUGCUGCUGCCAGACAGGCUGCCAUAUCUGGCUCUGAGCCUUCAGACUCCAUUAGGGUGGUAAAUGCCUUGCUAACACAAAUGGACAAACUGAAGGCUUGGCCAAAUGUUAUCAUUUUGACGACAUCAAAUAUCACCACAGCUAUCGAUAUUGCAUUUGUUGACAGGGCAGACAUCAAGGCAUACGUCGGACCCCCUACUCUUCAAGCACGCUAUGAGAUUUUGAGAUCAUGCAUAGAUGAACUCUUCCGAGUAGGAAUUCUUACAUAUCCUCAGGGCGGUGAUCUGCCUUGCAUUCUGAGCUAUUCAACCCUGAAAGAGAAGUUGCACGGUCCUGAGGCUGCAGAACCCCAUACACUUCAUCUCUCCAACUUACUGCAUGAAGGUGCAGAACUGUGCGACGGAUUGAGCGGAAGAUCAUUGAGAAAACUUCCUUUCCUGGCACACGCUUCUGUUCCCAACCCUUCGUGCUGUGACGCUGCUUCUUUCAUGCACACGCUGAUUCAAACCGCGCGGAGAGAGCUCUUGGAAUCACGCGGAUGA
rnacentral:rRNA from 1 species